UUGCCUGUAGAACAAAGAACAGUUGGUGGUGACUCCCUCUUGAUUUACUCUGUGAAUUGCUGAAAGUGAUGUUUUUAUAGCAAUUUCACUCUAAAGAACUCUACAGGGCUUUUCACGCUAUGUACAGGAAAUGUUUCAUUCAAGACUGCAGUGGCAUGUGGCAAGUAGAGCUGUUGAAAGCUACACUCUGGAUGAUGGUGUGCUGAAAUCCUGCUCUGACCAGAAUUGCCCCAUAUUACUCAGGCCCCACCAUUUGCCUCUGUUCUUCCAUGGCCUUUGCCCUAUGCCUGGAUUUGUCUGGGGCUGGGGCAGGGUUUAUUGUGCAUAGGUAUUGGUUCUAUUUCACAGGGCUCUUGAUGCAUGACUAAUGGUUCCCAGACACAUGAAAAAAUUUCAAUUUCCUAACAGAGUGGAAAAAUGAUAUAAAUACAAAUUCUGAGGAGAAUUCUACUGAUUUAUAUGUUUUCUGUUGACUCACAACAGAGGUUUAUGACCAUCUGUCAAACACCACUGUCUUACACAUCUGGACCUCCCUAGAUGACAGUUUUAAAGUAAAUACUAUGAUUAAACAGAGGCUCCAUUGAUCUCUCCCUUGUAAAAAAAUGUACUACAGCAACUAAAGCAGGAGAGGGUAAAACCACUAGAGAUACAUCUGAAAACCACCAGCUUAUCAAGAACAUGACUGUGUAUUUCUGUGUCAAAAUUCGUGGAAAACCAGAGAGAUAUGAAUAAAAUAAAUUCCUCCUGAUCUAGGAAGGCAGGGAUCCCUAAGUAAAUGUUUACUCUGAAUAGAUGCUUUCCCAGGGCACGCAUUGGCCAGUGGUGCAGCUGUGCUGCCCUCUUUUGGUUCCACAGUAGGAGCAUGAUAAACAAAAAAUAUUCUGUAACAUGUUCCUUGGCACUCCCUCAUUUUUUCUCCGUUUUCAGUACAUCAGAGUGGAUGCAAUGACUUACACACACACAGAGGAUAUUUACUGCAAAGGUGGAGGAAGCUAGAGGAGAAAAACGCCCUUAUAAAAAAACCCAAGGAAAUUGUUGGAUGGAAGAAAUAAGACCUGUACACCAGCAAAUUCUGAGGACAGGAAUAAGAGAACUCCUUAGUACAUUCCUUCUCUACAGCAGUAGUGACAAUAGAAUAGUAUUUCUGACAGCAAAUGCUAGCUAGUCUGCAGAUGAACAAAUUCAGAUCCACAGCCAGAGCUGCAGCCAGAUCUAAACGGGAAACUUUGAAGUGGGAAUUAGAUAUCUAAGAGCAGUACUGAUGCUAAUACAGGGGUUCAAGGCAUGCAGUGGAGAAACUCAGUAAUACAACUCACACAAGGCCAAAGGAAUCCAAAGGAAUUUCCAUUAUAUUAAAUGCAUACUUUGCAUUUAACAUUUGUGAACGACCAGAAGUUGACCAAUUGCUACGACUGCAUGUAAUGUUUCUUCAACAGUAUGUUUUCACUUCAAUGAUCCUGAAAAUUUUUCAUGAGAGGCUGUUCCUACUUAGAAUGCAAUUGAAAGAAUGGGCAAUAAUGCUAGUGACUGUAUGAAGGACUUCACCUGGAAUACAGCAUCUCAGGAAACAAAGACACUUUAUCAGCUGCCCCUUCUGAAAUCUUAAGAUUAUUGUCUCCAAAAUGCAGCACAAGUUAUUGAAGGAAAGCAGAAAGAAGCAAGUCUGCUGUUGGCUACUGUCAGCAUUUUCUUCAGAACCAAGUCUUUCAUUUCGAUUGUCUAAGUAUUAUCUGUAUGUAAUAAGAUAUUGUUUAAGAAUAUUAUGGAGUUUGUAAUAGGAAGUCUCUCAAGGUCUAAGUAUUCCUUAAUUCUUGCCAAUGAGAGUGCAAAUUGGAAUGCAGCAAGGAAUACAUAUUCAUUGCACAUACUAGCAUUUCUUAAGCUCAACAGUCAGAGACUAAUGCCACUAUUACUAGCCUAAGACUACUUUCAGUACAUUUAACUUAUUAGGUGGUGAUGGAGUUGAGGACCUUAGCUGGAGCUUGCCCCAGGCUGGCUCUUUCAUUUUAUCUUGUUAAAUUAUUUCGAAGUUAUUCAUAGGUAGCAAGACCACCUGUCUGUGGACAUGCUAAUUCUGGAUUAUGAAGUGUGCUUGCUUUUCGCUGUGGUUUGAGAA